rnacentral:rRNA from 1 species
CCUACGGGAGGCAGCAGUGGGGAAUAUUGCACAAUGGGCGCAAGCCUGAUGCAGCAACGCCGCGUGAGGGAUGACGGCCUUCGGGUUGUAAACCUCUUUCAGCAGGGACGAAGCGAGAGUGACGGUACCUGCAGAAGAAGCACCGGCUAACUACGUGCCAGCAGCCGCGGUAA